UGUGGGGAGCUGCCAACUUCUACCAAAGAAAGAUGCUAGCUUUUAAUUUCAGCUAUCAGAAUGUACAAUAGAGAUCUGCUCUCUUUCCAUUUGACUUACAGUAUAAGGCAGAGAAACCCUCGAAGUGUCCAGUGUUCUAACCACUCAUCUUAGAGCAGAAUGAUUACGCAAGAAGAAUGGUAAACCUCGGUGUGUCUUGGUAAUAAAUUUCACUUUCAAAGAAGGAAGCUUAAGAACAGAGGCUGGAAAGUAAAUGUGCCUCACACAAUGGAGCAGCAAGCCAGCUUUGUUUGAAUUGAACAUCCUGGAAGAUAUCUGAGCUGGGAACAAGUAGCAUGUGAUUUAAGGACUGAGACAGUAGACGGCUGAUUUUCUUGGCAAAAAUAGUAUGAGAAAGCUGCACUGGCCUUUCAAGGAUAAGAGUGAAGGAGCCACAGUCCACCACCUCCAGGGUCAAGGCUUUGCCACCACCGCAGGGCAUGGAGUGCCAUAAGUAGUGCUGAAUGGAGCAAGGAGGAGGAGAUGGCCGCACACAUAGCAUGGAAGCUUUGACUAAUGAUUGCUGCCAUAUGCUGCAUGUCACAGGUGAGUAUUUUACUGCCUUAAAAUUUGACAAUUCUGUAUCCAGCUUAAUAGUUCUGUCAUCUCAGCGUUGCCAUUAGCACUGAAUUACAACAGAGGAUAUUUAAACAUUGGAUUAGGGUGUCAAAUAUUUGUUAAAUAACAAGGGUAGACAUUAUAAAAAGAGUCAGUGAUACUUUAAAAACAUCAGUCAGUCAACAAAGGUAUAAAAAUUGGCUCGGUGACUAAACAAAGUUUGCUCGAUGUUUAUUUGUUAUACUGCAGUUUUAGGCAUCUAUCUUGCUGUGGAUUUUAUGCAUAAUACACACACACUGGCCAAAUUCCUGUCAGUUGAGAAAGUCACAUAGAGAAUAUAUUUAAUGGCCAGUCUGAAGUUUACAGAAAGAGGAAAAUUAAUAGAUCUG
rnacentral:lncRNA from 1 species